CUGGCCGUAAACGAUGAAUGCUAGGUGUGGGUGUCGAGAGGCAUCCGUGCCGGAGUUAACGCGAUAAGCAUUCCGCCUGGGGAGUACGGUCGCAAGAUUGAAACUCAAAGGAAUUGACGGGGGCCCGCACAAGCGGUGGAGCACGUGGUUUAAUUCGAUGCAAACCGAAGAACCUUACCUAGGUUUGACAUGUACGUGGUACGGAUCUGAAAGGAGAAGGACCUUGCCUUCGGGUAUGGAGCGUACACAGGUGC
rnacentral:rRNA from 1 species